rnacentral:rRNA from 2 species
GUGACCUCAAAUCAGGUAGGACUACCCGCUGAACUUAAGCAUAUCAAUAAGCGGAGGAAAAGAAACUAACAAGGAUUCCCCUAGUAACUGCGAGUGAAGCGGGAAAAGCUCAAAUUUAAAAUCUGUCAGUCUUUGAYUGUCCGAAUUGUAAUCUAGAGAAGUGUUAUCCGCGUUGGACCGUGUACAAGUCUCCUGGAAUGGAGCGUCAUAGAGGGUGAGAAUCCCGUCUUUGACACGGACUGCCAGGGCUCUGUGAUACACUCUCAAAGAGUCGAGUUGUUUGGGAAUGCAGCUCAAAAUGGGUGGUAAAUUCCAUCUAAAGCUAAAUAUUGGCGAGAGACCGAUAGCGAACAAGUACCGUGAGGGAAAGAUGAAAAGAACUUUGGAAAGAGAGUUAAACAGUACGUGAAAUUGCUGAAAGGGAAACGCUUGAAGUCAGUCGCGUUGUCCAGGGAUCAACCUUGCUUUUGCUUGGUGUAUUUUCUGGUUAACGGGUCAGCAUCAAUUUUGACUAUUGGAAAAAAGUCAAGGGAAUGUGGCAUCUUAGGAUGUGUUAUACGCCCUUGGUUACAUACAAUUGUUGGGAUUGAGGAACUCAGCAC